CCUACAGGUGGCAGCAGUGGGGGAUAUUGGACAAUGGGGGGAACCCUGAUCCAGCGACGCCGCGUGAGUGAAGAAGUAUUUCGGUAUGUAAAGCUCUGUCAGCAGGGAAGAAAGAAAUGACGGUACCUGACCAAGAAGCCCCGGCUAACUACGUGCCAGCAGCCGCGGUAAUACGUAGGGGGCAAGCGUUAUCCGGAAUUACUGGGUGUAAAGGGAGCGUAGACGGUUAAGUAAGUCUGGAGUGAAAGGCCGGGGCCCAACCCCGGGACUGCUCUGGAAACUAUUGAACUUGAGUGCAGGAGAGGUAAGCGGAAUUCCUAGUGUAGCGGUGAAAUGCGUAGAUAUUAGGAGGAACACCGGCGGCGAAGGCGGCCUGCUGGACUGAAACUGACGUUGAGGCUCGAAAGCGUGGGGAGCAAACAGGAUUAGAUACCCGAGUAGUC
rnacentral:rRNA from 1 species